AAGAAUAUAAUUUAAAAAAAAUAUUUGUUUUGCAUUCAAAAAUUAUUGAAAUUCAAUUUUUCUUA